GACGAACGCUGGCGGCAUGCCUAAUACAUGCAAGUCGAGCGGAGUUGAUGGAAAGCUUGCUUUCCUGAUACUUAGCGGCGGACGGGUGAGUAACACGUAGGCAACCUGCCCUCAAGCUUGGGACAACUACCGGAAACGGUAGCUAAUACCGAAUACUUGUUUUCUUCGCCUGAAGAGAACUGGUAAGACGGAGCAAUCUGUCACUUGGGUAUGGGCCUGCGGCGAAUUGGCUAGUUGGUGAGGUAACGGCUCACCAAGGCGACGAUGCGUAGCCGACCGGAGAGGGUGAUCGGCCACACUGGGACUGAGACACGGCCCAGACUCCUACGGGAGGCAGCAGUAGGGAAUCUUCCGCAAUGGGCGAAAGCCUGACGGAGCAAUGCCGCGUGAGUGAUGAAGGUUUUCGGAUCGUAAAGCUCUGUUGCCAGGGAAGAACGCUUGGGAGAGUAACUGCUCCCAAGGUGACGGUACCUGAGAAGAAAGCCCCGGCUAACUACGUGCCAGCCGCCGCCGUAA
rnacentral:rRNA from 1 species